rnacentral:rRNA from 1 species
AGCGAACGCUGGCGGCAGGCUUAACACAUGCAAGUCGAACGCCCGUAGCAAUACGGGAGUGGCAGACGGGUGAGUAACGCGUGGGAACAUGCCCUUUGGUUCGGAAUAACUCAGGGAAACUUGAGCUAAUACCGGAUAAGCCCGAGAGGGGAAAGAUUUAUCGCCGAAGGAUUGGCCCGCGUCCGAUUAGCUAGUUGGUGAGGUAAUGGCUCACCAAGGCGACGAUCGGUAGCUGGUCUGAGAGGAUGAUCAGCCACACUGGGACUGAGACACGGCCCAGACUCCUACGGGAGGCAGCAGUGGGGAAUAUUGGACAAUGGGGGCAACCCUGAUCCAGCCAUGCCGCGUGAGUGAUGAAGGCCCUAGGGUUGUAAAGCUCUUUCGGCGGGGACGAUAAUGACGGUACCCGCAGAAGAAUAAGCACCGGCUAACUACGUG